rnacentral:rRNA from 1 species
GACGAACGCUGGCGGCGUGCUUAACACAUGCAAGUCGAACGGAAAGGCCCCUUUGGGGGUCCUCGAGUGGCGAACGGGUGAGUAACAUGUGAGUAACCUGCCCUUGACUUCGGGAUAACUUCAGGAAACUGGGGCUAAUACCGGAUAGGAAUCCUUGCUGCAUGGUGGGGGUUGGAAAGCUUCGGCGGUUUUGGAUGGACUCGCGGCUUAUCAGCUUGUUGGUGGGGUAGUGGCUUACCAAGGCUUUGACGGGUAGCCGGCCUGAGAGGGCGACCGGCCACAUUGGGACUGAGAUACGGCCCAGACUCCUACGGGAGGCAGCAGUGGGGAAUAUUGCACAAUGGGCGGAAGCCUGAUGCAGCAACGCCGCGUGCGGGAUGACGGCCUUCGGGUUGUAAACCGCUUUCAGCAGGGGCGAAGCUUGUGGUGACGGUACCUGCAGAAGAAGCACCGGCUAACUACGUG